rnacentral:rRNA from 1 species
AGAGUUUGAUCCUGGCUCAGGACGAACGCUGGCGGCGUGCUUAACACAUGCAAGUCGCGGGGGGUGAGCAAUCACUCACCGGCGAACGGGUGCGUAACACGUGAGCGACCUGCCCACUUGUGGGGUAUAGCCGGCCCAACGGCCGGGUAAUCCCGCAUACGCUUCUCUGGCUGCAUGGCCGGGGGAGGAAAGCCGUAAGGCGCAAGUGGAGGGGCUCGCGGCCUAUCAGCUAGUUGGCGGGGUAACGGCCCACCAAGGCGAUGACGGGUAGCUGGUCUGAGAGGAUGGCCAGCCACAUUGGGACUGAGAUACGGCCCAGACUCCUACGGGAGGCAGCAGUGGGGAAUCUUGCGCAAUGGUCGAAAGACUGACGCAGCGACGCCGCGUGCGGGAGGAAGCCCUUCGGGGUGUAAACCGCUGUUACUCGGGACGAACUUCCCGAUUCAUCGGGAUUGACGGUACCGGGGGAGGAAGCACCGGCUAACUCUGUGCCAGCAGCCGCGGUAAUACAGAGGGUGCGAGCGUUGUCCGGAAUCACUGGGCGUAAAGGGCGCGUAGGCGGCUUUUCAAGCGUGCGGUGAAAACUCGGGGCUUAACUCCGAGUCUGCCGUGCGAACUGGGAGGCUUGAGUCUGGUAGAGGUCGAUGGAAUUCCGGGUGUAGCGGUGGAAUGCGUAGAGAUCCGGAAGAACACCGGUGGCGAAGGCGGUCGACUGGGCCAGAACUGACGCUGAGGCGCGACAGCGUGGGGAGCAAACAGGAUUAGAUACCCUGGUAGUCCACGCCGUAAACGAUGGGCACUAGAUCCUUGGGGGAGCGACCCCUUGAGGGUCGGCGCUAACGCAUUAAGUGCCCCGCCUGGGGAGUACGGCCGCAAGGCUGAAACUCAAAGGAAUUGACGG